GGCAAUCCUGUAGGGAAAAGGGGCUGGCUAAAGAAACCCACCCUGACCCUGGAGCUCAGAACCAGGGAAAGAAACACAGCCUGGGUCUGGGAACUGAACCAGAGAAAUGAACACUUUAUCCCCAAACCCAGAAACAAGGAAAUAUGCCCUGACUCUGAAACCAGUACCAAAGAAACACUCUUGGUCCCUAGAAUCAGAGUCAGUGAAAGAAAUGUGCCCUGGCCUUAGAAUUAGUGUUUGAAAAAAAAGGCCAGUGAAAGAAACACAGUUUGGCUCUGAAAUCUGGGCCAUGUCUGAUCCUAGCCCACAAAACUGACCAAUCCCUGGGUGACUCCCCCCUCCCCCAAGAGAUUCUAUAUAAACUGUCCUGCCUGGUCAGUUGGUGGCCGUUAUCUCCACUCUGGCGGAGGCAGUCACUCUCCUGGACUCCUCCUUCCCAAAUCUCUUUCUCAAAAGAGCUUUGGGUGUGAAGAUCUAUUUUUCUCCACCCGGUCCCACCUCCACUUGUAGCGGCAAAGUGUUCAGAGAUGAAAUGUUUUUCUGACCCCCAAGCAUUAAAGGCUAAGGGACUCUGUCAAACAGACUAAGAAAGGGUAGAGGUGCUGGACUCUCUUACCUUUUUCUUUUUGGUCAAACUUCCAAACACACAAGGUAACAAAGAUCAGCAAGCUACUACAUAAAGAAAAAUGACCGGCUGCUGGCGCUGCGUCCUCGGGUCGCGCUGUGGUUGAGGCUCCUCGCAGCUUGGCCUCAGAAAGUGCAUCCUGUGAAGUAUCUGUGUCUUCUAAGUCUCGAUGUUGGCCUGUAUCAGGAGGUUCCUGUUCUUCUGGGAUAUCAGUGACAAUGUCUUCACAUGACUUGGAUUACAAUAAAGUAAUUGAGUGUCCAAAGGCCUGAUGCCCCGGCCAGCGGGGUGUCAACGGGGGCGACCCACCUGCGGGAGAGAAUGAGAGGGACGGGUGAGACACGAAAGGACGACAGCAAGACAGUGUGUUCUGAUCAAGCUGCAAAUUUUAUUCUCCUCAGCAAGGCUUAUAUAGCAGGAGAGGGGGCAGGAAGGAGGGAAGGGGUGCAUGAUGUGCCAUACGCGCAGGUGAAGGGGGACGUGCAGGUGAAGGGCUACGUGCAAGAAGUCGUGAGGCUGCAGGUGGUAAGGUCACUGGUCAGGGCUCAUUUUUUUGUUGCUAUGCCCUCUCAUUGUUUUCCCUUUAAGACAAUAUACAUUUAUUAGCCAAAAGUUAAUUUUACCAUUCUAAAAAUAGUAGUUUUGCUCUUUGUCCUCCCCAAAUUUGAAGAGCCUGUAUCAUGGUACUGCUUUAAGUAUGUUCUUAUUUCUUAAAUUACUAGAGUAAAUCUUAUGUAUUUGGGUUGGGGUGAUACCUCAAUCUGCAAAGUGCUUGCCACACAAAAUUGAGGACCUGAGUUCAGUCCUCAGCAGAGGUCCAAAGCUGGGCAUGCUUGCAGUCCCUGUGCUAGCUAGACAGAGUUGGAUCCCUGGGGCCCUCUGGACAGAGAUCCUAGCUCAAUCUGUGAGCCUCAAGACAGUGAGAGACCCUGUUCCAAAACCCAAACUGAACAGCUCCUGAGGGGCCACACCCGAGGUUCACCUCUGACCUUUCCUGCACAUGCAGACGCUCCCCCUCCCCCAAUAUACACACUCACACUAACAGAAGUUACACAGCUGUUACCCAGGCAUCUUACUUGUUGAGAAAUAAUCAUCUCUUGACAUCUGACACAUGCCACAUGGCCAGGAAACAGCCAAAGCAAGAGCCUUCCUCUGCCUCUUGCACGUAGGGUU